GAUCUGGCUCAGGAUGAACGCUAGCGGCAGGCUUAACACAUGCAAGUCGAGGGGCAGCAUAAUGGAUAGCAAUAUCUAUGGUGGCGACCGGCGCACGGGUGCGUAACGCGUAUGCAACCUACCUUUAACAGGGGGAUAACACUGAGAAAUUGGUACUAAUACCCCAUAACAUCAUGAGAGGCAUCUUUUAUGGUUGAAAAUUCCGAUGGUUAGAGAUGGGCAUGCGUUGUA
rnacentral:rRNA from 1 species